rnacentral:misc_RNA from 1 species
UUAACUAUUUGCUUUUACUUCAGGCUGCAAAGUUGCUUCAGGGUUUUGUGUUCGGCCGGAGGCCCCCCGAUUCAACGGGGGCGCCUCCUAGAGCCGAAUGGCUUGCGUGACGCAAAAGGGUGGGGGGUGAGCGCCGGAGCGCUCGGUUACCCAGUAAUGAUCCUUCCGCAGGUUCACCUACGGAAA